rnacentral:rRNA from 1 species
AUGAACGCUAGCGGCAGGCUUAACACAUGCAAGUCGAGGGGCAGCACGGGUAGCAAUACUUGGUGGCGACCGGCGCAAGGGUGCGUAACGCGUGAGCAACAUGCCCGUAUCAGGGGGAUAAUCCAGGGAAACUUGGUCUAAUACCCCAUAGUAAUCUUAUAAGGCAUCUUUUAAGAUUUAAAGCUUUGGUGGAUACGGAUUGGCUCGCGUGACAUUAGUUAGAUGGUAAGGUAACGGCUUACCAUGACUAUGAUGUCUAGGGGUUCUGAGAGGAAGGUCCCCCACACUGGAACUGAGACACGGUCCAGACUCCUACGGGAGGCAGCAGUGAGGAAUAUUGGACAAUGGAUGGAAAUCUGAUCCAGCCAUGCCGCGUGCAGGAUGAAGGUCCUAUGGAUUGUAAACUGCUUUUGUAUGGGAGCAAUAAGGUCUUCGUGAAGGCCGAUGAGAGUACCAUACGAAUAAGCACCGGCUAACUCCGU